rnacentral:tRNA from 1 species
GCUUGGCUGGCUCAGUCAUGGGGCAAGUGGCUUUUGAUCUUAGGGAUAUGGGUUUGAGUCCCAUGUUGAGUA